GAUGAACGCUGGCGGCGUGCCUAAUACAUGCAAGUCGAGCGAACGGACGAUAAGCUCGCUCCUCUGAUGUUAGCGGCGGACGGGUGAGUAACACGUGGAUAACCUACCUAUAAGACUGGGAUAACUUCGGGAAACCGUAGCUAAUACCGGAUAAUAUUUUGAACCGCAUGGUUCAAAAGUGAAAGACGGUCUUGCUGUCACUUAUAGAUGGAUCCGCGCUGCAUUAGCUAGUUGGUAAGGUAACGGCUUACCAAGGCAACGAUGCAUAGCCGACCUGAGAGGAUGAUCAGCCACACUGGAACUGAGACACGGUCCAGACUCCUACGGGAGGCAGCAGUAGGGAAUCUUCCGCAAUGGGCGAAAGCCUGACGGAGCCACGCCGCGUGGGUGAUGAAGGUCUUCGGAUCGUAAAACUCUGUUAUUAGGGAAGAACAUAUGUGUAAGUAACUGUGCACAUCUUGACGGUACCUAAUCAGAAAGCCACGGCUAACUACGUG
rnacentral:rRNA from 1 species